rnacentral:lncRNA from 1 species
CAAAAACUCAUUAUUAUACAGGUAAAACGAUACACAUACCUUUUUAACCUACAAUAUUGAAAUCUAACAAACUAAUUCCAAGUCGCUAUCUAUUUAUAUUAUUUUUCUGUCAGUUUAUAUGACCGUCGGCAGUCUUCAGAGGUCAUCGCGAUGGUACUUAUAUGAAGUCAACAAAAAAACACACACAAUGUUGAUAUAUAUUAUGGAGUGCAUGCAUCCGUGUCAAAUAACCAAUUAAAAAUCUCUAUUUAUACAACCAAAUUUUGCAUUUUUCACAGCUUGCUUAAUGUUUUACUUUAAGAUUAACUCCAUGGAAACCAGAUAUAUCCCGAAUCAUACAUGUGCAUGCAUAACCUUUCACCUUGCCAAUUUCAAGCCUAUGUUUAAAGUAGGUAACGAAUAAUUACUGUUCGGAAUUAAAAACUAAGAAAAAAAAACCCUGGUUUUCAUGUAAAUCUAUUAAAUUAGUAUACUAUGGAGCUCAUAAUUCAUGAAUUAUUUUUGCAUACUCAUAGACAAGUAAAUUUAAAACUCAAACUAGUCUUAAUAUGUUUUUCUUUCAACAAAAGUUUCAUUUCUGCAAAUUAGUAUUAGAUAACAAUGACAUCUAAAGUAUUUUUGUCAGUGUUGGGCUACUUUUACAUAUA